GACGAACGCUGGCGGCGUGCCUAAUACAUGCAAGUAGAACGCUGAAGGAGGAGCUUGCUUCUCUGGAUGAGUUGCGAACGGGUGAGUAACGCGUAGGUAACCUGCCUGGUAGCGGGGGAUAACUAUUGGAAACGAUAGCUAAUACCGCAUAAGAGUAGAUGUUGCAUGACAUUUGCUUAAAAGGUGCAAUUGCAUCACUACCAGAUGGACCUGCGUUGUAUUAGCUAGUUGGUGAGGUAACGGCUCACCAAGGCAACGAUACAUAGCCGACCUGAGAGGGGGAUCGGCCACACUGGGACUGAGACACGGCCCAGACUCCUACGGGAGGCAGCAGUAGGGAAUCUUCGGCAAUGGACGGAAGUCUGACCGAGCAACGCCGCGUGAGUGAAGAAGGGUUUCGGAUCGUAAAGCUCUGUUGUAAGAGAAGAACGAGUGUGAGAGUGGAAAGUUCACACUGUGACGGUAUCUUACCAGAAAGGGACGGCUAACUACGUG
rnacentral:rRNA from 1 species